rnacentral:rRNA from 1 species
ACUUAAAUUGAAGAGUUUGAUCAUGGCUCAGAUUGAACGCUGGCGGCAGGCCUAACACAUGCAAGUCGAGCGGUAGCACAGAGAGCUUGCUCUCGGGUGACGAGCGGCGGACGGGUGAGUAAUGUCUGGGAAACUGCCUGAUGGAGGGGGAUAACUACUGGAAACGGUAGCUAAUACCGCAUAACGUCGCAAGACCAAAGUGGGGGACCUUCGGGCCUCAUGCCAUCAGAUGUGCCCAGAUGGGAUUAGCUAGUAGGUGGGGUAAUGGCUCACCUAGGCGACGAUCCCUAGCUGGUCUGAGAGGAUGACCAGCCACACUGGAACUGAGACACGGUCCAGACUCCUACGGGAGGCAGCAGUGGGGAAUAUUGCACAAUGGGCGCAAGCCUGAUGCAGCCAUGCCGCGUGUAUGAAGAAGGCCUUCGGGUUGUAAAGUACUUUCAGCGAGGAGGAAGGCAUUAAGGUUAAUAACCUUGGUGAUUGACGUUACUCGCAGAAGAAGCACCGGCUAACUCCGUGCCAGCAGCCGCGGUAAUACGGAGGGUGCAAGCGUUAAUCGGAAUUACUGGGCGUAAAGCGCACGCAGGCGGUCUGUCAAGUCGGAUGUGAAAUCCCCGGGCUCAACCUGGGAACUGCAUUCGAAACUGGCAGGCUAGAGUCUUGUAGAGGGGGGUAGAAUUCCAGGUGUAGCGGUGAAAUGCGUAGAGAUCUGGAGGAAUACCGGUGGCGAAGGCGGCCCCCUGGACAAAGACUGACGCUCAGGUGCGAAAGCGUGGGGAGCAAACAGGAUUAGAUACCCUGGUAGUCCACGCCGUAAACGAUGUCGACUUGGAGGUUGUGCCCUUGAGGCGUGGCUUCCGGAGCUAACGCGUUAAGUCGACCGCCUGGGGAGUACGGCCGCAAGGUUAAAACUCAAAUGAAUUGACGGGGGCCCGCACAAGCGGUGGAGCAUGUGGUUUAAUUCGAUGCAACGCGAAGAACCUUACCUACUCUUGACAUCCAGAGAACUUAGCAGAGAUGCUUUGGUGCCUUCGGGAACUCUGAGACAGGUGCUGCAUGGCUGUCGUCAGCUCGUGUUGUGAAAUGUUGGGUUAAGUCCCGCAACGAGCGCAACCCUUAUCCUUUGUUGCCAGCGGUUCGGCCGGGAACUCAAAGGAGACUGCCAGUGAUAAACUGGAGGAAGGUGGGGAUGACGUCAAGUCAUCAUGGCCCUUACGAGUAGGGCUACACACGUGCUACAAUGGCAUAUACAAAGAGAAGCGACCUCGCGAGAGCAAGCGGACCUCAUAAAGUAUGUCGUAGUCCGGAUUGGAGUCUGCAACUCGACUCCAUGAAGUCGGAAUCGCUAGUAAUCGUAGAUCAGAAUGCUACGGUGAAUACGUUCCCGGGCCUUGUACACACCGCCCGUCACACCAUGGGAGUGGGUUGCAAAAGAAGUAGGUAGCUUAACCUUCGGGAGGGCGCUUACCACUUUGUGAUUCAUGACUGGGGUGAAGUCGUAACAAGGUAACCGUAGGGGAACCUGCGGUUGGAUCACCUCCUUACCUUAAAGAA